GGGCCAUUUUUAUUUCUUGUGUACAUUAAUGACUUGCCAUAUUAUUUAAAAUCAUUGUGUGAUGUAGUAUUGUUUGCUGAUGACACGUCUCUAAUUUUUAAAGUUGAUAGGAAUAGAGUAGAUUUUGAUGACGUGAAUUCGUGUCUGUCGUUAGUAACGCACUGGUUCACAGCCAAUAAUUUGGUUUUGAAUGCGAAGAAAACCAAAUGUAUAAAAUUUGCUUUGCCAAACGUGAAAAAUCUCGGCCCCAGUGUAGUUUUAAACAACGAGGAAAUUGAAACGGUCCAAGCUACCACUUUUCUAGGAAUAACUGUAGACUCCAAAAUUCAAUGGGGUGAGCAUAUAACUGGCCUCACGAAUAGACUAAGCUCUGCUGCGUACGCUGUCAGAAAGAUACACGCAGAUGGCAGCUCUGAAGUGGACAACAAGUGUUUUUUUUUAUAUAUAUAUAUUUUGCGACUAAUAUUGAAUUGUAUAAUUGUAAUUUAAUUAUAAUUAAAUUGUAAUAGACAGCUGUGUUGCUGGGAAGUUUGUUCUUCACCACUUCUUCUUCCCAGCCAUAACACUAGGAAGUGGUGAAAGGGGGGCGUUUUGGGGGUGCUGUAAUUUUGUAUUUUUUGACGUGAAAAAGUGCUAGAAUCUAGCCUAUUUUCAAUAAACGAUUUUGACUUUGACUUUGA
rnacentral:lncRNA from 1 species